AAACUGGCUAGGCCCCGUCCGAAUGUCAUCACAUAACAACAGUAUGGUGGCCAAAUCACAAGCUUUUACACGUAUAGUAUAGUGUGUUUCAUCUUUACAAGAUCCUUUCCCUUUUCCUUUUCACCCCUAUCACCCCAACCCACCUACGCUACAUUACAUUUCCUGCUAUACCACCAAUCUGUAUACAAUUGAAAAACUACAGGCUACUACAACCCAAUGCUUCCUGAGAAUCUAGACAAAUUUGGACAGUGCGAGUUUCAAGUCCUGAUGGUAUUGUGGCAUAUUGGUUCCUGCAUGCAUUUUGCAAAUGAACAAGGCUAAGAGUUAUUUUAUACCUUGCAUUGCUGUAAUUUUUACUUCUCCCCACCAGGGACAUGGGUUCUUGUUGAGAUAUCUUGUUAACCCUUUAUUUUUGAUCAGUUAUUUCUCUUCAAGUUUAUCUGUUGGGGCCUAAUCCUCUUAGCGACGCGUCAUAUUAGAACCCGGGUGUUGUGUUAAAGCUUGGACAACCAAUCAUUUAUUAUCCGAGAAUUUAAUUUGGUUUUAUUAAUCAAUUUAAACCUUUCUAUAGGAAGAGAGUGGCUCUUCACUCCCAUCGGAUUAACAAAAAGUGAGUCUCAUGUUUUCUUAUUUGUUUGACUCAUGUUGGUGUGAUAUUUUGCUAAACAGAUUUUGCAUAUCAUAGCGACGUUUGUCAUUUUGUAUCUAUACAUUUAUGCUAAUUUUUAACUCUCGUGGCAACGCAUGGGUACGUACCUAGUAAAUAUCUGUAAUGUUAGAAUCUAGUAUUUCCAUCACUUGCCAUUCCUCAAAUAUAAAUAUAUUGCAUCUAUUAUAUGGC
rnacentral:lncRNA from 1 species